CCUCUCCGUUGGUGUCGAUAAACGUCGAGCUUCUCCCGUUCGUCCGUUGACGUCUGGUCGAGUCUUCCCAGUUCAUCCGUCGUCCGUUGAUGUCUGGUCUCCUUCUCCGUUGGUGUCGAUAAACGUCGAGCUUCUCCCUUUCGUCCGAUGACGUCUGGUCGAGUCUUCCCAGUUCAUCCGUCGUCCGUUGAUGUCUGGUUACCUCUCCGUUGGUCUUAGUAAACGUCGAGUUUUUCCUGGUCGUCCCCAG
rnacentral:lncRNA from 1 species